UACGAAGGGUGCAAGCGUUAAUCGGAAUUACUGGGCGUAAAGCGUGCGUAGACGGUUAUUUAAGUCGGGUGUGAAAGCCCCGGGCUCAACCUGGGAAUUGCAUUCGAGACUGAAUAGCUAGGGUGCGGAAGAGGGAAGCGGAAUUUCCGGUGUAGCGGUGAAAUGCGUAGAUAUCGGAAGGAACACCAGUGGCGAAAGCGGCUUCCUGGUCCAGCACCGACGUUCAGGCACGAAAGCGUGGGGAGCAAACAGG
rnacentral:rRNA from 1 species